AGCGCAGGCGGAUAGGUCAGUCUAAAGUGGAAUCCCGGGGCUCAACCUCGGAACUGCUUCGGAUACUGCCUGUCUUGAGUUCGUGAGAGGAAAGCGGAAUUCAGGGUGUAGCGGUGAAAUGCUUAGAUAUCCUGAGGAACACCAAUGGCGAAGGCAGCUUUCUGGCGCGAUGCUGACGCUGAGGCUCGAAAGCGUGGGGAGCGAACG
rnacentral:rRNA from 1 species